GGAAAUCGACGGAACCCUUCGGGGGGAAGUCGACGGAAUGAGCGGCGGACGGGUGAGUAACACGUAAAGAACCUGCCNUCAGGUCUGGGAUAACCACGAGAAAUCGGGGCUAAUACCGGAUGGGUCAUCGGACCGCAUGGUCCGAGGAUGAAAGGCGCUUCGGCGUCGCCUGGGGAUGGCUUUGCGGUGCAUUAGCUAGUUGGUGGGGUAAUGGCCCACCAAGGCGACGAUGCAUAGCCGACCUGAGAGGGUGAUCGGCCACACUGGGACUGAGACACGGCCCAGACUCCUACGGGAGGCAGCAGUAGGGAAUCUUCCACAAUGGACGAAAGUCUGAUGGAGCAACGCCGCGUGAACGAUGAAGGCCUUCGGGUCGUAAAGUUCUGUUGUAAGGGAAGAACAAGUGCCGCAGGCAAUGGCGGCACCUUGACGGUACCUUGCGAGAAAGCCACGGCUAACUACGUGCCAGCAGCCGCGGUAAUACGUAGGUGGCAAGCGUUGUCCGGAAUUAUUGGGCGUAAAGCGCGCGCAGGCGGCCUCUUAAGUCUGAUGUGAAAGCCCCCGGCUCAACCGGGGA
rnacentral:rRNA from 1 species